AACGUAGGAGGCGAGCGUUAUCCGGAUUUACUGGGCGUAAAGCGUGCGCAGGCGGUCCGACAGGUCGGGCGUGAAAUCUCCUGGCUUAACUGGGAGAGGUCGUCCGAAACCGUUGGGCUUGAGCGCCGGAGAGGGACGUGGAAUUCCCGGUGUAGUGGUGAAAUGCGUAGAGAUCGGGAGGAACACCAGUGGCGAAAGCGACGUCCUGGCCGGCUGCUGACGCUCAGGCACGAAAGCGCGGGGAGCGAACGGG
rnacentral:rRNA from 1 species